rnacentral:rRNA from 1 species
AACAGGAUUAGAUACCCUGGUAGUCCACGCCGUAAACGAUGAGUGCUAGGUGUUGGGGGUUUCCGCCCUCUGUGCCGAAGGUAACCCAAUAAGCACUCCGCCUGGGGAGUACGGCCGCAAGGCUGAAACUCAAAGGAAUUGACGGGGGCCCGCACAAGCGGUGGAGCAUGUGGUUUAAUUCGGAGCAACGCGAAGAACCUUACCAGGUCUUGACAUCCCGCUGAUCGGUGUAGAGAUAUGCCUUUCCUUCGGGACAGCGGUGACAGGUGGUGCAUGGUUGUCGUCAGCUCGUGUCGUGAGAUGUUGGGUUCAGUCCCGCAACGAGCGCAACCCUUGUCGUCAGUUGCCAGCACGUAAAGGUGGGCACUCCGGCGAGACGGCCGGUGAAAGCCGGAGGAAGGUGGGGAUGACGUCAAAUCAUCAUGCCCCUUAUGACCUGGGCUACACACGUGCUACAAUGGCCGGUACAACGGGUAGCGAACCCGCGAGGGGGAGCCAAUCCAAAAAACCGGUCUCAGUUCGGAUCGCAGGCUGCAACUCGCCUGCGUGAAGCUGGAAUCGCUAGUAAUCGCGGAUCAGCAUGCCGCGGUGAAUUCGUUCCCGGGCCUUGUACACACCGCCCGUCACACCACGAGAGUCUGCAACACCCGAAGUCGGUGAGGUAACCUUCGGGAACCAGCCGCCGAAGGUGGGGCAGAUGUUUGGGGUGAAGUCGUAACAAGGUAACC